rnacentral:rRNA from 1 species
CCUACGGGAGGCAGCAGUGAGGAAUAUUGGUCAAUGGCCGGAAGGCUGAACCAGCCAAGCCGCGUGAAGGACGAAGGUGCCAAGCAUUGUAAACUUCUUUUGUCAAGGGACAAAAUCAGGCUCGAGAGCCUGACCGAGGGUAUUUGAAGAUAAAGCAUCGGCUAACUCCGUGCCAGCAGCCGCGGUAAUACGGAGGAUGCGAGCGUUAUCCGGUUUUAUUGGGUUUAACGGGUGCGUAGGCGGACUGUUAAGUCAGAGGUAAAAGCCCGGGGCUCAACCCCGGCGAGCCGUUGAAACUGGCUGUCUUGAGAUGUCGAGAGGUAUGCGGAAUGCGCAGUGUAGCGGUGAAAUGCUUAGAUAUUGCGAAGAACUCCGAUGGCGAAGGCGGCAUACCGGCGGCGAUCUGACGCUGAGGCACGAAAGCGUGGGGAGCGAACAGGAUUAGAUACCCUGGUAGUC